CGCGGCCUAUCAGCUUGUUGGUGAGGUAGUGGCUCACCAAGGCUCCGACGGGUAGCCGGCCUGAGAGGGCGACCGGCCACAUUGGGACUGAGAUACGGCCCAAACUCCUACGGGAGGCAGCAGUGGGGAAUAUUGCACAAUGGGCGGAAGCCUGAUGCAGCAACGCCGCGUGCGGGAUGACGGCCUUCGGGUUGUAAACCGCUUUCAGCAGGGACGAAGCUAACGUGACGGUACCUGCAGAAGAAGCACCGGCUAACUACGUGCCAGCAGCCGCGGUGAUACGUAGGGUGCGAGCGUUGUCCGGAUUUAUUGGGCGUAAAGAGCUUGUAGGCGGUUUGUCGCGUCGGGAGUGAAAACUCAGGGCUUAACCCUGAGCCUGCUUCCGAUACGGGCAGACUUGAGGAAGGUAGGGGAGAAUGGAAUUCCUGGUGAAGCGGUGGAAUGCGUAGAUAUCAGGAGGAACACCAGUGGCGAAGG
rnacentral:rRNA from 1 species